rnacentral:rRNA from 1 species
CGCCUCUUGAAUCAGUAUAAGAGGUCCAGCCUGCCCAGUGACCCUGUUCACGGCCGCGGUAUCCUAACCGUGCGAAGGUAGCGUAAUCACUUGUUCUUUAAAUGAGGACUAGUAUGAACGGCAUCACGAAGGUUAUACUGUCUCCUUUUUCUAAUCAGUGAAUCUAAUCUCCCCGUGAAGAAGCGGGAAUAUAACUAUAAGACGAGAAGACCCUAUGGAGCUUAAAACAACACAGCACUUGUCAAAAAACUAAACAAUUCCAGAAUUUUUAAUUUCUAGGCAACAUGACUAUAAGUUUUUGGUUGGGGUGACCGCGGAGUAUAAUAUAACCUCCAUGUUGAAAGAAUUUUAUUCUAAGCCAAAAAGUACAUUUUUAAGCAUCAAUAAAUUGACAUCUAUUGACCCAAUAUACUUGAACAACGAACCAAGUUACCCUAGGGAUAACAGCGCAAUCCACUUCAAGAGCUCCUAUCGACAAGUGGGUUUACGACCUCGAUGUUGGAUCAGGGUUUCCCAGUGGUGCAGCCGCUACUAAAGGUUCGUUUGUUCAACGAUUAAAACCCU